UACGUAGGGUCCGAGCGUUGUCCGGAAUUAUUGGGCGUAAAGGGCUCGUAGGCGGUCUGUUGCGUCGGGAGUGAAAAUUCACAGCUUAACUGUGAACUUGCUUCCGAUACGGGCAGACUUGAGGUAUUCAGGGGAGAACGGAAUUCCUGGUGUAGCGGUGAAAUGCGCAGAUAUCAGGAGGAACACCAAUGGCGAAGGCAGCACUCUGGGACGUGACUGACGCUGAGACGCGAAAGCGUGGGGAGCGAACAGG
rnacentral:rRNA from 1 species